GAUGAAGAACGCAGCGAAAUGCGAUACGUAAUGUGAAUUGCAAAAUCUCGUGAAUCAUCGAAUCUUUGAACGCAUAUUGCACUCUGUUUCGGCAGAGUAUGCCUGUUUGAGAAUCUAUAGUUUUUCUUAUCAGACGGUGCUUUUCUCUCGGGAAAGUACCCAAUGGUAGAUUUGAGACGUGAAUGCGUAGCAUUCUGUCUUUAAAUAGAUUGCUGCCUAUGAAUGGUGACUUUAGUGUUUGAAUAGGACUUUUGUUCUCGACUGCGCUGAAGAAGCUAUACUUUGGUAGUUCAUAACCUAUAGAAUUGCUAUGAACUUGCUGCAAAACCUUGUUUCGGCAGAGGCUAGUAGUUUGAGCGUAGUAGUUUGAACCAUGGUCUCAAAUCAGGUAGGAAGACCCGCUGAACUUAAGCAUAUCAAUAAGCGGAGGA
rnacentral:misc_RNA from 1 species